UAAAUUUUAUUUUUUAUCGUAAUUUUUUAAUUUAAUCGAUUUAAAGAUUAACUUCACGAGAUUAAACCUUUAAAUUAUAAAAAUAACAAACACUUUAUAACGGGACCUGUUGAUGAUAUUUUCAUUUUGCAUAGCAGGGGCAAUCAGAAAGGAGGCUCACUUGGUGAUAAAGUACCGAGUAGAUACCGCGACAUACUGCCAGAAGGCCCGCCACUGCGUUGCCGGCCUAAUAAUGUUUAAGACUGCCAACAACAACGACUUUUCCACGACCAGGAGCGAUUAAGCACAGAUUCGCAGAGUCAAUCUAUAAUCUACUGACAUCAUGUGUUGUCCUAUUUUGGAAUGUUUUAUUAUUAUUAGUAUAGUAUGAACUAAAAUUACUAAUUAGCCGAUAAUUUGGGAAGGAUAUUUUCCUAAAUUGUUUUUGCAAUUUAAAUUUCAGUGUCUGUGUUUAACAAGAGGACCACUGCCGAGAUUCAAAUUGAUUGGAAAUAUUCACUUCCCAAAAAUCAAGGUGACCCCACCACGGUACGUGACACCUCCAACUGAAGAGACAUCAACACUGUGCCCGCCCUGCAUCUGCCCUCUGCCUGAAAACGUAUUACCGAAUGAUUAAACAGUUGUGCUUUCUA